GACGAACGCUGGCGGCGUGCCUAAUACAUGCAAGUAGAACGCUGAAGAGAGGAGCUUGCUCUUCUUGGAUGAGUUGCGAACGGGUGAGUAACGCGUAGGUAACCUGCCUUGUAGCGGGGGAUAACUAUUGGAAACGAUAGCUAAUACCGCAUAACAAUGGAUGACACAUGUCAUUUAUUUGAAAGGGGCAAUUGCUCCACUACAAGAUGGACCUGCGUUGUAUUAGCUAGUAGGUGAGGUAAUGGCUCACCUAGGCGACGAUACAUAGCCGACCUGAGAGGGUGAUCGGCCACACUGGGACUGAGACACGGCCCAGACUCCUACGGGAGGCAGCAGUAGGGAAUCUUCGGCAAUGGGGGCAACCCUGACCGAGCAACGCCGCGGGAGUGAAGAAGGUUUUCGGAUCGUAAAGCCCUGUUGUAAGUCAAGAACGGGUGUGAGAGUGGAAAGUUCACACUGUGACGGUAGCUUACCAGAAAGGGACGGCUAACUACGUG
rnacentral:rRNA from 1 species